rnacentral:rRNA from 1 species
GGGUGAGUAACACGUGGGCAACCUGCCCAAAAGAGGGGGAUAACACUUGGAAACAGGUGCUAAUACCGCAUAACCAUAGUUACCGCAUGGUAACUAUGUAAAAGGUGGCUAUGCUACCGCUUUUGGAUGGGCCCGCGGCGCAUUAGCUAGUCGGUGGGGUAAAGGCUUACCAAGGCAAUGAUGCGUAGCCGAACUGAGAGGUUGAUCGGCCACAUUGGGACUGAGACACGGCCCAAACUCCUACGGGAGGCAGCAGUAGGGAAUCUUCCACAAUGGGCGAAAGCCUGAUGGAGCAACGCCGCGUGGGUGAAGAAGGUCUUCGGAUCGUAAAACCCUGUUGUUAGAGAAGAAAGUGCGUGAGAGUAACUGUUCACGUUUCGACGGUAUCUAACCAGAAAGCCACGGCUAACUACGUGCCAGCAGCCGCGGUAAUACGUAGGUGGCAAGCGUUAUCCGGAUUUAUUGGGCGUAAAGGGAACGCAGGCGGUCUUUUAAGUCUGAUGUGAAAGCCUUCGGCUUAACCGGAGUAGUGCAUUGGAAACUGGGAGACUUGAGUGCAGAAGAGGAGAGUGGAACUCCAUGUGUAGCGGUGAAAUGCGUAGAUAUAUGGAAGAACACCAGUGGCGAAAGCGGCUCUCUGGUCUGUAACUGACGCUGAGGUUCGAAAGCGUGGGUAGCAAACAGGAUUAGAUACCCUGGUAGUCCACGCCGUAA